rnacentral:rRNA from 1 species
GAAGCAGCUUGCUGCUUUGCUGACGAGUGGCGGACGGGUGAGUAAUGUCUGGGAAACUGCCUGAUGGAGGGGGAUAACUACUGGAAACGGUGGCUAAUACCGCAUAACGUCGCAAGACCAAAGAGGGGGACCUUCGGGCCUCUUGCCAUCAGAUGUGCCCAGAUGGGAUUAGCUUGUUGGUGAGGUAACGGCUCACCAAGGCGACGAUCCCUAGCUGGUCUGAGAGGAUGACCAGCCACACUGGAACUGAGACACGGUCCAGACUCCUACGGGAGGCAGCAGUGGGGAAUAUUGCACAAUGGGCGCAAGCCUGAUGCAGCCAUGCCGCGUGUAUGAAGAAGGCCUU